rnacentral:lncRNA from 1 species
AGAGCUGUAACACUAAGAGAGCUGUAACACUAAGAAGAGCUGUAACACAGUAAAGGCUUGCUCGCAGAAGAAUCCUGUUGCCACGCGUAGUUCUUGCUGGCGGGACAUUGGGCGCGCGACAAGUGGUGCCGAGACCCGGGAACCAACAUCGCCGGUGCCAGGGGACCCUUCAGUGUGCUGAAGAGGAUUCAGAACUGCGAGAAGGUAAAUUAAAAGAAUCAAGAAAAUCCAAUUUGGGUACCUGAGUGUUUGACUCGAAAAUUGCCUUCUGCUCUUCCUGAAGAUGAGACUACGAACCCUACUAUUACUACUGGGAAUGGUAAUACAGGUUAAUUCGCUCACCCUGUGGGCUAUUGCCAGAUCCUGGCCAGUACCCAUGCCAGUUCAUAGCAAUUCUACUGUUUUGAGAAUAAGACUGACAAGCAUAAUCUCUGGUCUUGGUUUCAAUGGGUGCUGUCCAAUGAGCAAGGGGCAUAUACAUCCCUGACCCCCUUUGCUAGGUUGAUGGGUGAGAAUUUCGUGCUGUAUAAUGUUUCAGCUACCAGAAAAAAUGAUACCAGGUUGACCAAUAUUCAAUAUAAUAACCUCUUGGCAAAUAAUAUUGCCACUAGUACUUCAGUAAUGUGUUAGAUCACCUUUUUUCUUUCUGAUAAGCACUAAUGUCAGCAGUGGUGCUUUAAAUUGUAAUAGCUCUGAUGUAGUCUGCUAUUUAGCUGAAUGCUGGGAUGGCACUAAUGACACCGCAGUGAUGGUUAAGAUUCCCUCCUUUGUGCCAAUCCCAGUGGAGGCAAACCCAGAUAGCUUUCCUAUUCUUAAUUUGCUGAGAGCCAAAAGAGAUUUUGGAAUUACGGCAGCCAUAAUUUCAGCCAUUGUGCUGUCUGCUGCCGCAGCUACCACAGCUGAAAUCGCUAUGACCAAUCAAAUACAGACAGCUGAGACUGUCAAUCAGAUUGUAGAAAGAACUGCAGUGGUGCUAGAGAUACAAGAAGAAUUUAAUACCCAUUUGGCAUCUGGCCUUCUAUUAGCCAAUCAAAGGAUAGAUUUAGUUCAAGAACAAAUUGAAGCACUGUAUCAUAUGACACAGCUGUCUUGUGUUUCCUCCCUUAGAGGUUUAUGCAUUAUUCCUUUGUGAGCUAACUUUUCUCAGAAUUUUCAACAGAGCAAAGAAAUCUCGAAUUAUCUGAAAGGAAACUGGUCCAUGAAAGCAGAGCAACUAUCAAGACAAUUGCUGAUGCAGAUUGCUGUCCUCAACAGCACUAGGCUGGACCCCAUCACAGUUGAAGACUUUACCUCAUGGAUUACCAAUGCUUUCUCCCUUUUCAAGGAGUGGGCGGGCAUGUUUGUCCCGGGGAGCUAUUGUCCUCCUGGGAUGCGGAGUAGGUCUCUGGCUUAUUGGCUGUUUAAAAAGAGAACAUGCCAGACACAAAAUGGUUGUUUACCAGGCUAUGACCACCAUUAAAAAGGGUGCUUCUCCCAACAUAUGGCUGGCCUCUUUGAAAGAUCAAGAGUUCGCCCUAGAUCAUUUUUGUCACAGUCAUGUGGAGUCAUUGUAUCCAGGGACGGGCAACUUUCCUCGAACUCGGACCAACCUAAGACACGGGGCCCGGUGGCGAUAGGGUAACUCUAUGACGGGUAAGGCCGAGUUUGGAUGAGAACGACCUAAGACAGGAGCAAUGACAAGAUUGACGUGACACCCAGAUCUAGACCAGUCAUUUUAUUAAACAAAAAAGGGGGAGAUGUAGAGAGCGGCGCGGCGAAACAAAGAUGGCGCCGACAUCCAGCCUUGUCUGGAUAUAAACGACUUACUGCGCAUGUGCAGGCUUGUCCCCUUGCUAGGGCUCCCUCUAGUGGUGAACAGCGGUACUGCACAUGUGCGGUUUAUUCACCAGGUGUUAGUUGACUGUUAAUAUGCUAAUGAGGUGAUUCAUUCUCCGCCAAUCCCUGGAGGACAAGUAGUGGGGUGAUCCAAGCCCCACCAAUCCCUGAGAGAUAAUUAGCAUACUGUUGUCUAUAUAAGCCGAGCCAUUUUGCUGCUCGGAGUCCCUGUUCAAGAGAGCUGUAACACUAAGAGAGCUGUAACACUAAGAAGAGCUGUAACACAGUAAAGGCUUGCUCGCAGAAGAA